ACACAUGCAAGUCGAACGCUGAAGCUCAGCUUUUGUUGGGUGGAUGAGUGGCGAACGGGUGAGUAACACGUGAGUAACCUGCCCUCUUCUUUGGGAUAACGCCCGGAAACGGGUGCUAAUACUGGAUAUUCACUUGCCUUCGCAUGGGGGUUGGUGGAAAGGUUUUUUCUGGUGGGGGAUGGGCUCGCGGCCUAUCAGCUUGUUGGUGGGGUGAUGGCCUACCAAGGCUUUGACGGGUAGCCGGCCUGAGAGGGUGACCGGUCACAUUGGGACUGAGAUACGGCCCAGACUCCUACGGGAGGCAGCAGUGGGGAAUAUUGCACAAUGGGCGAAAGCCUGAUGCAGCGACGCCGCGUGAGGGAUGGAGGCCUUCGGGUUGUAAACCUCCUUCGCUCAUGGUCAAGCCGCAACAGUGGUUGUGGUGAGGGUAGUGGGUAAAGAAGCGCCGGCUAACUACGUGCCAGCAGCCGCGGUAAUACGUAGGGCGCGAGCGUUGUCCGGAAUUAUUGGGCGUAAAGGGCUUGUAGGCGGUUGGUCGCGUCUGCCGUGAAAUCCUCUGGCUUAACUGGGGGCGUGCGGUGGGUACGGGCUGACUUGAGUGCGGUAGGGGAGACUGGAACUCCUGGUGUAGCGGUGGAAUGCGCAGAUAUCAGGAAGAACACCG
rnacentral:rRNA from 1 species